rnacentral:rRNA from 1 species
UACGUAGGUGGCGAGCGUUGUCCGGAUUUAUUGGGUUUAAAGGGUGCGUAGGCGGCUUUGUAAGUCAGUGGUGAAAUACUCUAGCUCAACUAGAGAGGUGCCAUUGAUACUGCGGAGCUUGAGUACAGAUGAGGUAGGCGGAAUUGACGGUGUAGCGGUGAAAUGCAUAGAUAUCGUCAAGAACACCGAUAGCGAAGGCAGCUUACUGGGCUGUAAACUGACGCUGAGGCACGAAAGUGUGGGGAUCAAACAGG